GUGGCUCAACGGUAGAGUACUUGCCUCCCAUGCAUGAGGCCCUGGGUUCAAUUCCUCAGC
rnacentral:tRNA from 1 species